rnacentral:rRNA from 1 species
UACGGGGGGAGCAAGCGUUGUUCGGAUUUACUGGGCGUAAAGGGCGCGUAGGCGGCCACCGCAAGUCGACUGUGAAAUCUCCGGGCUUAACCCGGAAAGGUCAGCCGAUACUGCGGGCUAGAGUCCGGGAAGAGGCGAGUGGAACUCCUGGUGUAGCGGUGGAAUGCGCAGAUAUCAGGAAGAACACCAACGGCGAAGGCAGCUCGCUAGGACGGUACUGACGCUGAGACGCGAAAGCGUGGGGAGCGAACAGG